GCCGCAAAAAUUGUUUUGGUUUCCGCAUCAUUGGGAUAACUUGGCGAAAACGCCAAGCUAAAUACAUGAACCAACGGAAUGGCCCCGAUCAGCGCGGGUGUCGGCUCUUGCUGGCACCUGCGUGCGAGCCAUUCAGCGAAUGAAUGAAAUUAAAACCGGCGCCGCGGACGCGGCAGCAACACCCAGAAGUGUUGAAUCAAUUCAUUCGAGCGAAAGCUGGGAUUUCCUGGCGUUUUUUGAUGAACAACUGCCCUAUCAGCCAGUGAUGGCCGUGUAGUGGACUGCCAUGGCGUUGACGGGAGCGGGGGAUUAGGGUUCGAUUCCGGAGAGGGAACCUGAGAAAUAGCUACCACUUCUACGGAGGGCAACANGCGCGCAAAAUUGCCCAAUGUCGAGAAAAUACGAUGA
rnacentral:rRNA from 1 species